GAUGAACGCUAGCGGCAGGCCUAAUACAUGCAAGUCUAAAGGGCAGCAAUGUCCUUGGCGCACGGGUGCGUAACACGUAUGCAACCUGCCCUCAACUGGGGGAUAACCUUCCGAAAGGGAGGAUAAUACCGCAUGACACAGAGUCCCUGCAUGGGGGUUUUGUCAAAGCUACGGCGGUUGAGGAUGGGCAUGCGGACGAUUAGCUAGUUGGCGGGGUAACGGCCCACCAAGGCUACGAUCGUUAGGGGAACUGAGAGGUUGGUCCCCCACACUGGCACUGAGAUACGGGCCAGACUCCUACGGGAGGCAGCAGUAGGGAAUAUUGGUCAAUGGGCGGAGGCCUGAACCAGCCAAGUAGCGUGCAGGAUGACGGCCCUAUGGGUUGUAAACUGCUUUUAUACAGGAAUAAAGUUAGCCACGUGUGGUUAUUUGUAGGUACUGUAUGAAUAAGGACCGGCUAAUUCCGUGCCAGCAGCCGCCGUAA
rnacentral:rRNA from 1 species